GCGGAAUUUCUUUAUUACAAAAGUUACAAUAUACAACAAAUUUACAUUAUAUUUAUCGGAGUGUUUACAAAAGUGAUUCAAAGGAAUACACUUUGAAUUGUUAUAAAUUAUUUAUAAGUUUGAAAUAUAUGCUAGCUUAGGUGACCAUCCGCAAUAAGAAGUAUAGAAGAGUUACUUAGACUUAUAAGAAGGUCGUGCCCGCCAUCGCUUAACACCAAUCACAAUCAAAGUGACUCGUAACCUGCAACAACAAUGGGAAUAAAACCCUAAGUACACAAGUACUCAGCAAGACUUACCUGACUAAAGAAAAGACUCUCAAGGGUAUGCUGGUUUUAAAAAGAAAAGACUCUCAAGGGUAUGCUGGUUUUAAAAGGAUUCAAGGUAAGGCUUAUCAAGGAUCAAGGACUCUAUUUGUAGAAAAGCUUACUAUGAGUGGAUCCUUAAAAAAUUAUUUUUACUUGUCAGGUUAAGUAAAGUUACCUGCAUCUAGAGUUCUUUCUACCCUAGUUCAAGCACUUGGCCUAUACUAGCCGUCUUUUAUCAUCCCAUCAGUUCAGUGCAUUGCUACAUGUAAGUCG
rnacentral:lncRNA from 1 species